CAGCGAAUCCCUGACCUUAUCUGGACAAUUUGGCCCAAAAGAUUUGUUUACUGCCGGCGUAGCGGCUUCAGUGACAGGAUCACACGAAUGGCAGUGGCAAAACACGAAAACCAACGAGGACAGCAAAGGUUAUUCCAAUGAGGCAUCACACGGUUUUGAAUUCCAGGGUCCAGCAAUCGGACUGAUAAUGGGCGUAGAAACGAGUUACGAUCUACAACAGAGAGGAAUGAAGGCUCAAUACAAAGUAAAGUGUGUGAAUAGAUCUAACUCAGAUCAUGAAGAGAUCUUUAAAAAGGAUACACUAGUGGACGUGAAAGCUCACAAGGUGGGGCACACUCAUUUCGAGAACAAAAAAAUCAAGAUUGAAAAGAAGAUGUGUGAUUUGCAUGAGUCAGAGUUGCGUCAAUGCGUCCGUGGCAUCAUAAUAUCUCCACAUGAAACGCCUGGCUCUGCGAUUGAAAAGAUUAACUCCUGCCUCAAUAUACUUAGGCCAGAAAAAUAAUUUGUAACUGAUAUAUUAUAUCAUCUGCCCGACAAAACAAAAAGUAUGGCUACAGAAGCUGAUUUAAGGGAAGGGGCGACAAAACUCAAGACUUCCACCCCCUGCCAACCCAAAGGUUCCUCCUCUGGUACUUUUUCAGUCAUCUGUUUUUGGCAGAUGGACCCGAAAAUCAAGUUUUUCUAAAGGCG